GCUGGAGUGCAGUGGCACAAUCUCAGUUCACUGCAACCCCCAUCUCCUGGGUUCAAGCAAUUCUCCUGCCUCAGCCUCCUGAGUAGCUGGGACUAUAGGCACACACCCCCAUGCCCCACUAAUUUUCUGUAUUUUAGUAGAGACAAGGUCUCCCUGUGUUGCCCAGGCUGGUCUUGAACUCCUGAACUCAGGCAAUCCACUCGCCUCAGCCUCCCAAAGUGCUGGGAUUACAUGUGUGAGCCACUGUGCCCGGCCCAUUAAUUUGACAUAUUUCUAACUUCUUGAUGAAUGUGUCUAGCACUAUAAACUUUCCUCUUAACACUGGUAAACUGCAUACUACAUAUUUUGGGUUCCAGCAUUCUCCUGGAGCUUGAUGAGCUUCCUUGCCAUCCAGAUUCCAAAUUCUGUCUCCCAUCCAUUGCUGUCAUUUCAAUAAUGGUUAAGAACCAUUGCUGAAGACUUUCUCAUAGCUUCUCUCAUAGCAAGACACAGAGAAAAACAAAUUACUACAUCCCUAGUAUGUAUUGGGUAUUAUGUUCUGUGUUUUCCAUGUGUUAUCUCAUUUAAUUUAUAUCAUAGCUAUCACAUUUAAACAGGUUUUUCCUGUUUUUCAGAAGGGGAAACUAUGGCUCAGAGAAAUUGAGUGACCUUCUCAAUGUCAUAUAGAAGGAAAGUGUCAAAACCUGGAUUUGGAGACCUGGGAAAGAUGGGAAGAACUGUCUGUUGGGUGUAGCGGGAAGCAGGACCUGAUGCUGGAAGGGAGAAAAGAUAACCAUGCUAAAUGAAGAAAACUGACCACAAGAAUUCCAGUCCAACAGAAAAUAUAAGUGAAUAGGAUUAUUUACUUUGUGAGUACCACACCUAUUUGAAAAAUCUCAACAGCAAUUUGAACUUUAAAUUAUUGGAUAUCUAAGUAUAACUUGUAUUAUAUGUACAUCAAGUUGAGAAUAUAGUCUACUUUUUGAAUAAGAAUAAUACAUAGUAAACUAAUAAGAAGAGUUUACUUAAAACGAAAUACAUUUAUUAUUGAUUUCUUACAUAUUUUAUACAACUAGAGGGGAAAAUUUUAGACUAAUAUGGUCUUAUGCCGCAAUUGCUAGGUCUGCCUGGUUUUGUGAGCCAAUUGGCUUAGCAUAAAGGGCACAGAUUCCCUCUCAGGGCCAUUUUAAGUAAAGACAAUCAGGCAGUGAUGCAAUCAUAGCACCUGCCAAUAUUAUUGUAACCUUUUUCUAACCACUUUCUACCACUGGUGGGGAUCCCAGGGAAGCAAACUCUGUAAUGGAAUUUAGCAUGCAGGAUAUUUAUUUAAGUGUGCCCUUGGGAACAGCACCUGUGGAAGGGAUGGGUGGGAAGCAGAAUUUGACAGAAGGAGAAGUCAAGCUGCAACGUGACCAACUACAGCCUCUGCCUACCAAAUAGAGAGGUGUGGAGCUAGAAUAGCCCCUAUAAAUUAUCUCAAGGUAGGAUUUGAUGACCAGGCCUUUAUAUUCUUGGUGGGUUAGUCACUCAAAUUGGGCCAUGCUGGGACAAGACUUGAUUUUGAGUGAGGCAACCCUCUGCAGCCCAAGCAAUCCCUGAAGAAGCUGAUAGCUGAAGGCUGUUGCCUGACAGCUCACCAGAGCUAGAGCAACAUGUUUUUAAUGAAAGAGGAAUCUGGGUGCUUGUUCUUAACAGCAUCCACCAAAAGGUCCAGUUGAUAAUAACACCUUCCUUGAGAUGUCCUUAUGAAAAGCAGGAUAUUCAGCUAUGGGAAGGUCUUCUGUUCCUGUGAACUAGUGCCAUGGUUACAUGGUUAUUCUAGUCUGCUUGCAUUUUCUUAUAUACAACUUAUAGUAUUCCUUCAGGUAAAAAAAAAAGGGAGGGGGUUUCUGGUGAAAUUUUGUUUGUUUUAUUGUAGUUGAGCUUAUAGACAGAUCUUACAAAGUGUAGGUAUUAGUCAGACUGCUAUAACAAUAUCACCUUCUGGGUGGCUUAAACACCAGAAACAUUUUCUCACAGUUUUGGAGGCUGGAAGUCCCAAGUCAAGCUGCCAGCAGAUUAGGUUUCUGGGGAGGAAUCUAUUCCUGGCUUGCAGUUAGCUGCCUUCUAGUGAUGCCCUCGCAUGACCUUGCCUUGCUGUGCACAGAGAGAGACAGAAAUCUUGGGUGUCUCCUCCUGUUUUUAUAAGGACAUGAGCUCUACAGGAUUAGGCUAUUAAGGGCCCACUUUUAUCACUUCAUUUAAUCUUAAUUACCUUCCUAAAGGCUGUAUCUCCAAUACAGUUACAUCAAGAGUUAGAACUUCAACAUAUGAAUUGAGGGGUGCAAAUGAGUCCAUAAUACAAAGUAAUUAAAUUGAAAAUUGUGUCUAAUUUCAAGUGUUGUUCAAAAUGUGAAUGCUUCUUUGGUUAUUGAUUCUACUUUGUAGAGACUUGGUAAAUUUUAACUGAGAACAACAUAAAUUGCCUUAAUCAUGUGAUUUUAAUUGGUUGUCCUAUUUAUCUUUAUAUUUAGGCUUCCUCUGAAUUUACCCUAUUAUUAUGUAUCUGGGAUGUAUCUGGGAUUCAUGGUUCUAACCCAAAACUUACUUUCUAUACUUGCUUAUUUAACCUUCACAUUGUUCAGGACAUUCUAGAAAACGUCUAAUGUUUCCUUUGGUACAGAAAUUGCACAUACAGCUGAGAUGUGCACGAUUCUGUUCUCUCAUGUUAGUUGGGAAGAAUAAUUUAUGAGAAAUUGGGGGAAAUUUCUGUACUUUUGAUUAUAAUGCGUGAGCAUUCCAAUUAUUUUAUUUCAAAAAGUGUACCUUCAAUAGGUGCCUACCUUUUGACCAUUCAAUUCUGUUUCUGCAUUUUUACCCCAAGGAAAUAACCAGAAAUAUAUGUGUACAUAGACGCAUAUGUACACACAAAUACACAGAAAUAAACACACACAUACAAAUAUAUUUGUUAGGGCAUUAUUAAAUUUAAAAAUUCGAAGCAAUCUAAUGGUAUAAUAAGACUCUAGUAAAGUAAGUUAUGAUACAACUCCUCAAUAAAAUAACAUGUAGCCACAAAAAUUGCCUAGAAAAUAAUAUUCAAUGAUGAUGACUACUCAUAUUUUAAGUAAAAAUACAAUUUGGUUUCAAAAUAGUUUAUAAAAAUUUGGUUGUGUGUUUCUGAAUAUAUCUGUACAUAGAAAAAUAUAGAAUGGCACACAGCAAGCUAUUAAUAGAUGCUAUCCUUGAUUGGUGGGGAUAUUAAUAAUGUUUAUUUUAUUCUUGUUUUUUCACCUAUUUCUAUUUUUUCAAACCUCCCUAAUUAAAAUGUCUUAAUUAGAUAACUAAAAACAUAAGUCUAUAUUUUAUCAAAAAUAAUAAAGUAUUUAAAGUAUUACUCAAUCUAAUACUAACACAAAUAAUAGCUAAUACUGAUGGCUUACUAUGUACCUAUUGCUGCCCUAACAUCUCUAUCUACAUUAACUCAUAUAACUCUAAAAAUCUAAAUGAACCCUCCAUCGUGAUUUUUCUUGUUUCUUAAAAACAAUAAAAAUGAAAGCAAUAACAAAAUAAUUUUUCUACAGUUAUUGUUUGUCUAUUGUCAACUAUACAUCAGCUAUGUUACAACAAUAUUAAAUUAUGGAACAGAAAAAUACUUUUAUAAUCAAGGAAAAUAUAUUAAAGAGUGAGACAUUUAUUCAGGUAUAUACAUGAUGAAGAAAGGCUGAAGGAAACAGAAAUGAAAACAUGAGAGCAGAUGACGGACUCUUAGGCCUGUUUGUCAGGCUUUGGAGAGUUAAUCUAGUCUUUUCUUAGAUAUGAAGAGAAACUUCCUCGAGGGAAAAAUGAAUAUGCUAAGGGCAUCCAGGUUUGGAACUAGAACUCAGGUCUCUACUCUCAGUUGACUGAUUUUCCAUUAUAUCAAACUACUUUUCAUAAUAGAUCUACCCACUUAGGAUUAUUCAUGCAUGGAACAUAACAUUAGUCCAUCUGAAUUUUAAGUUAUCUUCUAGAUUACAAAAUUCCAUAAGUCUUAUCAUUUCAAAAGUUCUUUCACAACGUAUUGGCUUAUAGGCUGGCCUUUUAGUCAGUGUUGAUUCUCCUUAACCACCAUAUCAAAAUUUAAGCAAUGCCAGAUUUUCAUAUUUAAUCCUGUAGGGUAGGUAUUACUUCUUUUGCUAAUUAAAAAUAUGAAGAUUGAGGCUAAUUUAAAAAAAAUCUUGUCUAAUGGUAUACACAUAUUAAAAACUUGCUAAGGUGGGUGAUAUUGGAAAGUACAGCCAUUUUACUGGAAAACUUUUUAUUUUUGUUUUAUAGCGAAUCCUCUCUCUUUCUUUACUGGAAUGCUUUGUCACAGAGAAAAAUCACAUAAAGAGCUGCAAACUAAAAAACAUAAAAAUAUGGCCAGCUGCAGUGGCUCAUGCCUGUAAUCCCAGCACUUUGGGAGGCCGAGGUGCGUGGAUCACUUGAGGUCAGGAGUUUGAGACGAGCCUGGCCAACAUGGUGAAACCCUGUCUCUACUAAAAUACAAAAAUUAGCUGGGCGUGGUGGUGCGUGCCUGUAAUCUCAGCUACGCAGGAGGCUGAGGCAGAAGAAUCGCUUGAACCCAGGUGGCAGAGGUUGCAGUGUAGCCGAGAUCGCGCUGCUGCACUCUAGCCUGGGUGACAGAGCAAGAUUGCAUCUCAUAAUAAUAAUAAUAAUAAUAAUAAUAAUAACGUGUUAAUAUAGAAGCACGUUCAAAUUUGUAAAAUUUUCUUCUAAAAUAUUACUACUGUAAAUGAAAAAAAGAUGGGCAUUUUGAUGUAGACACAGAUCUGAAAUAGGAUCCAUGAAUAGCAGAUGCAAAUAUUAGCUUCAGUAUUUAAUUAACUUAUUUAUUUACUUUGCAAUACAAUGUAUUUAGAAGACUCAGGUUCACAUUGUUGUAAAUAGUAUCUGCUAUUUUAAAGUAUUCCACCUUGUAAUUUCAGGAUACUUUUCAGUUAAAUAAAAAUGGAAGGAAAAAUGUAUUUGAAGGGUUGCAUUAAAUAAUAAUGACAAUAAUAAUUAUUAAUAAUAACAAAAUGGAAGCCUCUUUUGUCAGUGCUUUCUCAUAUAUUUACUAUUGUAUCUCCAAGGUCUAGAAAAGCAUCUGGCACAUAGCAGGAGAUAAAUAAACUUAUUGGGAAUAUGAUAAUAAAGAACCCACAGAGACUUGAUCUUGCUCUUUGAUUUCUGCACCUUCCUCUCAAUCAGUGAUAGGUUAAUUAUCAAAAAUAGGUUAGAGAAGAAUUAACCAUUUUGAAUGUACUACUUCUACUACUAGGAAUGAAUAAGCGCAUGUGAAACUUUUCUAAUAAACGGGGUUAGAGGAGUAGUGUAAUGCACUUUUUCCUUUCUUCCUUCCUUCCAUCUGCUACUUCCUCUGUUUUAAUACCCUGAGGUUAAGAGUGCUCAAUUUAAUAAUGUUCCUUACAAGAAAUGAACUAAAAACUAGCACUGAAAAUUCUAACUUUUCUCUCUCCUCAAGCAUAAAUGGGGUUGGACAUUCCAUUUUGUGACCAUAGGCAAUUUUACAUAUCUCUAACCCCAGCUGGACCUUUGCUUCUGGGCACUGAUAUCUUGGACAUUCCUGUUAGAUCUGUUUGUGGUUGCAUGACCUACAACAAGAUUCGUAUAUAUUGGGUUUGACUAUAUGACCUUUGUAAUGAAUAUUCUCCAUGGACACAAAGCUUAUCCUGAUAGUCACCAGAAUCCUACAGAUUUUAUAUCUGAAAAUAGUCAUUCUUCAUUAUUAAAUUUUCUAAACUAAAGCUCUCAGUUGACACUCCCUUUACACUAAUCCCUCGAUUUCCAAUAAAAAGUUAGAAUAGAAAAUUCCAUGUUUAAAACUGCUUGCUAAUAAAUUACUAGCCAUUAAUUCUUCAGGGAUUAAUAUCUUGUUCUCAAAUGCCAGUGAGGAUAUUAGAAAGGAAAUACACACACAAGUUGCUGGCUUUGCAAGAAGGCUUCUUGAGGUCACAGUGCUAGCAAGCACUGUUAGCUUACGUGCUUAACUCUAUACCAGGUGAGGGGUCUAGGCCAGACGUAGAGAGCAGGAGAGAACACAAACAGCCAUCAAUGUCAAGGCCUUAGCAAAAAUGUAACACUAGUCUUUCAAAUUGUACCCAUUGGGCAGUGGAAAACACUAAGUAUCAUAAAAUAAUAAUGAGUUUUUUAUUGAGCACUUAAUUUGUGACACGUGAAUCUGAGUGUUUCACAUGUUUUAAUCAUUUACUCCUAAGAGCAAUUUUAUGCUGUAGGGUAACAAUAUAAAAGUCAAAACACAGAUAAUUUUAAUAUUCUGGCUAAGUCCUCACUCCUAUAAACUGGCAGUGUUGAGAUUCUCAUCCCGAAAGAAUAGUUCUAGGCUCAGUUGCUCAUUUACUUAAAUAUCAUGUUCCUUUAAUAAUAUGACGUGUGUGUGAGUGUGUGUCGGGGGGGUGUGUGUUAUCCUAGCUCUACCAGUUUAAUACAUUUUAUAAUAUUGGACAUGAUACCCCUCUGAAUUGGCUUUUGUUUUUAUCUAAAUGUUAAUAAAAAUAAUAAAUUUGAAGAAAUGCAAACACACAAACAUGUCUAUUUUGACUAUCCCAUUGUAUUAGGAACUCAAUAAAUGUUCAUUUUAAUAUCUCUAGUUCUAGGUUUCUAGUAAAUCUUGUUGAAUCAAUGAAUACUAAAUAAAAUGUACAAAAGAACAAAAUCAUUUCUAAAUUAUAUAUAUGGGGUAAUAUUAAAAAUCAUAUCACCUACAAAUUCAUUUAUAGUUCUCAAAGUUUAAAAUAUUUGCAACCAAGUAUAUAUUUACUAUGGGUUAGGACUACACAUUUAAAAAUAUAGCUUAUUUAAUUGUAAAAGCGAUUUGAUGUACAACCAGAAUCAUUCAAUCUUCACCACCUUUCUUUUGUUAUUUAAUAGCCCUUU
rnacentral:lncRNA from 10 species